CCUACGGGAGGCAGCAGUGGGGAAUAUUGGGCAAUGGGCGCAAGCCUGACCCAGCAACGCCGCGUGAAGGAAGAAGGCUUUCGGGGUGUAAACUUCUUUUGUCAGGGAAGAGUAGAAGACGGUACCUGACGAAUAAGCCACGGCUAACUACGUGCACGCAGCCGCGGUAAUACGUAGGUGGCAAGCGUUGUCCGGAUUUACUGGGUGUAAAGGGCGUGUAGCCGGGUUGACAAGGUAGAUUUGAAAGCCUGCGGCGUAACCGCAGAACUGCCGUUGAAACUGUUGAUCUUGAGUACUGGAGAGGCAGACGGAAUGCCUAGUGUAGCGGUGAAAUGCGUAGAUAUUAGGAGGAACACCAGUGGCGAAGGCGGUCUGCUGGACAGCAACUGACGGUGAGGCGCGAAAGCGUGGGGAGCAAACAGGAUUAGAUACCCCUGUAGUC
rnacentral:rRNA from 1 species